rnacentral:tRNA from 1 species
GUGCCCAUGGUAUAAUGGUUAUUACGUCGGUUUGUGGUACCGACAAUAUGGGUUCAAUUCCCAUUGGGCACCCCA